AGUGAACGCUGGCGGCAGGCCUAACACAUGCAAGUCGAACGGCAGCACAGGGGUAGCAAUACCCUGGGUGGCGAGUGGCGGACGGGUGAGGAAUACGUGGGUGACCUGCCCUCAGCUCUGGGAUAAGCCUGGGAAACCGGGUCUAAUACUGGAUAUGACUCCAUGACGCAUGUUGUGGGGUGGAAAGCCUUGUGCGGCUGAGGAUGGGCCCGCGGCCUANCAGCUUGUUGGUGGGUGAUGGCCUACCAAGGCGACGACGGGUAGCGGCCUGAGAGGGCGACCGGCCACACUGGGACUGAGACACGGCCCAGACUCCUACGGGAGGCAGCAGUGGGGAAUCUUGCGCAAUGGGCGAAAGCCUGACGCAGCGACGCCGCGUGAGGGAUGAC
rnacentral:rRNA from 1 species